CCUCCUGGCCUGUAGAGCCGUGAGGUCAGGUCUCAGCUGCUGCUUCAGCUCCUGGACUUGUUCUUCUAGAGGAACCAGCGUGUGACCCUGGUGACGGGACAGUUCUUGUUCUCUGCUUGGGCCCAGAAGUCCUGGAGACAGCUGGAACAGAAGCUGUGGUGACAGCCCAGAGACACCGGGUCCUUGACGAUCUCAGUGCAUACGUUGCAAGUCAGUUUGAGAAAGCGCGGUUCGGUGGGACUUUGUCUGCUGCAGCCAGGCCGAAUGUCAAUGUGACUAGGAGGCCUGUUGAGCGUCCCUCCAGCCCUGCCGCUGUCCCGUCUGGGAGAAGCACUCCAUCAGCUACCCCACCUCGAGUGACGCCCCCUUCCAGUCCCAGCUUCUACAGGCCUGUCCCCCCUUUCUCUCUGCCUCCAUCCAGCCCUGUCAUGUCGGCUGUGAGGACCAGCUCUUCUCCUCUGGUUGUAUCAGAUAGGAGCCCUGCUCUCCUGGUCUCCUCCUGGUCUCCUCCUGGUGUCCUCCUGGUCUCCUGGUCUCCUCUUGGUCUCCUCCUGGUCUCCUCCUGGUCUCCUGGGGCCGGUUGCACCAACUGGGCGUGACUGCUAAGUAGGUCUUAGUUAAGACCUGGCGUUAGAAUGAAACUAACGCCGAUUACACCAACGGGACUUGAGCCCGGUCUUAGCCAUGCGCGGCCAUGUGAAUGUUCCAUGG